UAGGGAAUCUUCGGCAAUGGACGAAAGUCUGACCGAGCAACGCCGCGUGAGUGAAGAAGGUUUUCGGAUCGUAAAACUCUGUUGUUAGAGAAGAACAAGGACGUUAGUAACUGAACGUCCCCUGACGGUAUCUAACCAGAAAGCCACGGCUAACUACGUGCCAGCAGCCGCGGUAAUACGUAGGUGGCAAGCGUUGUCCGGAUUUAUUGGGCGUAAAGCGAGCGCAGGCGGUUUCUUAAGUCUGAUGUGAAAGCUCCCGGCUCAACCGGGGAGGGUCAUUGGAAACUGGGAGACUUGAGUGCAGAAGAGGAGAGUGGAAUUCCAUGUGUAGCGGUGAAAUGCGUAGAUAUAUGGGGGAACACCAGUGGCGAAGGCGGCUCUCUGGUCUGUAACUGACGCUGAGGCUCGAAAGCGUGGGGAGCAAACAGA
rnacentral:rRNA from 1 species